rnacentral:rRNA from 1 species
ACAUCCAGCGAACUUGGCAGAGAUGCCUUGGUGCCUUCGGGAACGCUGAGACAGGUGCUGCAUGGCUGUCGUCAGCUCGUGUUGUGAAAUGUUGGGUUAAGUCCCGCAACGAGCGCAACCCUUAUCCUUUGUUGCCAGCGAUUCGGUCGGGAACUCAAAGGAGACUGCCGGUGAUAAACCGGAGGAAGGUGGGAUGACGUCAAGUCAUCAUGGCCCUUACGAGUAGGGCUACACACGUGCUACAAUGGCGCAUACAAAGAGAAGCGACCUCGCGAGAGCAAGCGGACCUCAUAAAGUGCGUCGUAGUCCGGAUCGGAGUCUGCAACUCGACUCCGUGAAGUCGGAAUCGCUAGUAAUCGUGGAUCAGAAUGCCACGGUGAAUACGUUCCCGGGCCUUGUACACACCGCCCGUCACACCAUGGGAGUGGGUUGCAAAAGAAGUAGGUAGCUUAACCUUCGGGAGGGCGCUUACCACUUUGUGAUUCAUGACUGGGGUGAAGUCGUAACAAGGUAAGCGUAGCGAG